UCUCUCUUGGCUCAGUUGGCAGAGCACGUCACUAGUAAUGACGAAUCAGUCGUACAAGUCGACUGGCGGGAA
rnacentral:tRNA from 1 species